rnacentral:rRNA from 1 species
GACGAACGCUGGCGGCGUGCCUAAUACAUGCAAGUUGAACGCUUCUUUCUUAUCGAACUUCGGUUCACCAAGAAAGAGGAGUAGCGAACGGGUGAGUAACACGUGGGUAACCUGCCCAUCAGCGGGGGAUAACACUUGGAAACAGGUGCUAAUACCGCAUAAUGCUUUUUCUCACAUGAGAGAAAGCUGAAAGGCGCUUUUGCGUCACUGAUGGAUGGACCCGCGGUGCAUUAGCUAGUUGGUAGGGUAACGGCCUACCAAGGCAACGAUGCAUAGCCGACCUGAGAGGGUGAUCGGCCACACUGGGACUGAGACACGGCCCAGACUCCUACGGGAGGCAGCAGUAGGGAAUCUUCGGCAAUGGACGAAGGUCUGACCGAGCAACGCCGCGUGAGUGAAGAAGGUUUUCGGAUCGUAAAACUCUGUUGUUAGAGAAGAAACAAGGAUGAGAAAGAGAAUGUCAU